GGUACUGUGGCUUAGUGGUAGAGUGCUUGCCUAGCAUGCAUGAAGCCCUCCCUGGGUUUGAUUCCUCAGUACCA
rfam:Dipodomys ordii contig_50720, whole genome shotgun sequence.